rnacentral:rRNA from 1 species
UACGGGGGGGGCAAGCGUUGUUCGGAAUUCCUGGGCGUAAAGGGCGCGUAGGCGGCCUUCUAAGUCAGACGUGAAAUCCCCCGGCUUAACCUGGGAACUGCGUCUGAUACUGGGAGGCUUGAGUAUGGGAAAGGGAUGUAGAAUUCCAGGUGUAGCGGUGAAAUGCGUAGAUAUCUGGAGGAAUACCGGUGGCGAAGGCGGCAUCCUGGACCAUAACUGACGCUGAGGCGCGAAGGCCAGGGGAGCAAACGGG